AAUACUAAUUCUAGCUGCUCCUGAGUCCAGAGAGCGGCACACUCCAUCUCAGUGAAGUAGCUCUUUCUGAGAUUCCUCAUCCGUGGGGCUUUUCAGUUAAUCAAGAGAGUAUGUCCAGGCUAGUCUACUUAGGCAAGGUCGAGGCAAGAGGAAGCUAAAUGGCUCUGCCUGAAAAGAGAAGACAGGAAUUUUUAAAGUGGGCAAAACAAGAAUGAUAAUAGGCAUGUCUCAAGGUUGCUGUGUGGACCAGCUAAAGCCCUAUGUAAGAAAGCACUUCACAUACAGAAGAGGAUUGAUGCAUUUGGGAGACCCAGAAAUGUGGAUUCCAUCUUUCUAUGAGCCCAAGGAUGAAGGAGAACAAAAG
rnacentral:lncRNA from 1 species